UACGAAGGGGGCUAGCGUUGCUCGGAAUCACUGGGCGUAAAGCGCACGUAGGCGGAUCUUUAAGUCAGGGGUGAAAUCCCAAGGCUCAACCUUGGAACUGCCUUUGAUACUGGGGAUCUCGAGUCCGGAAGAGGUUGGUGGAACCGCGAGUGUAGAGGUGAAAUUCGUAGAUAUUCGCAAGAACACCAGUGGCGAAGGCGGCCAACUGGUCCGGUACUGACGCUGAGGUGCGAAAGCGUGGGGAGCAAACAGG
rnacentral:rRNA from 1 species